rnacentral:misc_RNA from 1 species
CAAAAUUCUCCUAAAAUCAAGACCUAACCGAACCGUUUAUUGAAGAAUAAGCAAACUGAACCAAACCAACAAAUGUUGGUUCGGUUAUUGAAAAACAAAAAUUAAUUUUCUGUGACAGAAAAUGCAUUAAGCCAUUAAGCAGAAAUUGCAAGGUAGUUGCACUUGGUAACAAUCAAAUGAGUGAAAAAUAUAGAAAAGGAAAUCUCUAAAACUUGUGAGAAGAAAAAAUUGAACCUUGGAACAAAACUUUAAUUCAAUUCAGGGAUGAUAGAACAAUAAUUUAAACAUAAUAAUGUGAAC